rnacentral:rRNA from 1 species
UACGGGGGGGGGCAAGCGUUGUUCGGAAUUACUGGGCGUAAAGGGCUCGUAGGCGGCCAACUAAGUCCGACGUGAAAUCCCCAGGCUUAACCUGGGAACUGCGUCGGAUACUGGAUGGCUUGAAUUCGGGAGAGGGAUGCAGAAUUCCAGGUGUAGCGGUGAAAUGCGUAGAUAUCCGAAGGAACAUCAGUGGCGAAAGCGGCUUCCUGGACCAGAACUGACGAUCAGGCACGAAAGCGUGGGGAGCAAACAGG